rnacentral:rRNA from 1 species
GACGAACGCUGGCGGCGUGCUUAACACAUGCAAGUCGAACGAGGUCCAACUAGUGGCAACACUGGGGAAGACCGAGUGGCGAACGGGUGAGUAUCACGUGAGGAACCUGCCCCGGAGACCGGGAUAACCCUCCGAAAGGAGAGCUAAUACCGGAUACCUCCGCCGAACCGCAUGAUUCGGCGAAGAAAUGGAUUCCGCUCCGGGAGGGCCUCGCGGCCUAUCAGCUUGUUGGUGGGGUAACGGCCCACCAAGGCAUCGACGGGUAGCUGGUCUGAGAGGACGAUCAGCCACACUGGGACUGAGACACGGCCCAGACUCCUACGGGAGGCAGCAGUGGGGAAUCUUGCGCAAUGGGCGAAAGCCUGACGCAGCAACGCCGCGUGCGGGAUGAAGGCCCUCGGGUUGUAAACCGCUUUCAGCAGGGACGAAACUGACGGUACCUGCAGAAGAAGCCCCGGCCAACUACGUGCCAGCAGCCGCGGUAACACGUAGGGGGCGAGCGUGUCCGGAUUAGUU